rnacentral:rRNA from 1 species
CGAUUGAACGCUGGCGGCAUGCUUUACACAUGCAAGUCGAACGGCAGCGCGGGGGCAACCCUGGCGGCGAGUGGCGAAACGGGUGAGUAACACGUAUGCAAUCUACCUGUAACUGGGGAAUAGCCUUCCGAAAGGAAGAUUAAUACCGCAUAAUAUCAUGAAGUGGCAUCAUUUUAUGAUCAAAACUCCGGUGGUUACAGAUGAGCAUGCGUGACAUUAGCUAGUUGGUGAGGUAACGGCUCACCAAGGCUACGAUGUCUAGGGGGUCUGAGAGGAUGAUCCCCCACACUGGUACUGAGACACGGACCAGACUCCUACGGGAGGCAGCAGUAAGGAAUAUUGGACAAUGGGCGAAAGCCUGAUGCAGCGACGCCGCGUGAGCGAAGAAGUAUUUCGGUAUGUAAAGCUCUAUCAGCAGGGAAGAAAAUGACGGUACCUGACUAAGAAGCCCCGGCUAACUACGUG